UGAUUUAGAUCUAUAAUAUAAGCUGGUACAACAGACACAUAACACGCUGCAUACAGUCGUUGUUGAGACCGCAUAAAGAAACCUACAGCCUUCAGACAUCCACCAAUGUAUUCCAGCAGCAUGUUGCGAUCUAUACUAUUGAUACUUUGUCUCACGUACCCGGUCAGUUCGAAGGUCAGUUCGGAUAUCAGUUCGGAGGAGGACACAUGGAAGUUUGGGGGAUGUAUCAGUUCAGAUUCGGAUUGUGCCAUCCAAAAUUGUCAUAGUUGUCCAGAGGAUACAUAUGCUGUUGGGUGUUUGGAAAGUACAACUUGUACCGGGGGAACCCUCGAGUGCAGUUGUUAUAUGUUACACGGUAUAGAAAUUUAAACCAAACCAGAGUGAGGAGUCUACGGCAUCAAACCAGAAAUCUAAUUAAAAAAAUAAUUUCCAAAAUUAAAUAUUUCAUCGCGUGAUGCAGCGAUCACUUGUAAAUUAAAACAUAAAUAAACUGGGUUAAAUAUUAAA